GCCGGGCGUGGUGGCGGGCGCCUGUAGUCCCAGCUACUCCGGAGGCUGAGGCAGGAGAAUGGCGUGAACCCAUGAGGCGGAGCUUGCAGUGAGCCGAGAUCGCGUCACUGCACUCCAGCCUGGGUGACAGAGCGAGACUCCAUCUCAAAAAAAAAAAGGCUUUUUUUUUUUUUUUUUUUUUGAGACAGAGUCUCACUCUUGUUGCCCAGGCUGGAGUGCAGUGGCGCGAUCUCGGCUCACUGCAACCUCCGUCUCCCGGGUUCAAGUGAUUCUCCUGCCUCAG
rnacentral:SRP_RNA from 1 species